UAGGGAAUCUUCGGCAAUGGACGAAAGUCUGACCGAGCAACGCCGCGUGAGUGAAGAAGGCUUUCGGAUCGUAAAACUCUGUUGUUAGAGAAGAACAAGGACGUUAGUAACUGAACGUCCCCUGACGGUAUCUAACCAGAAAGCCACGGCUAACUACGUGCCAGCAGCCGCGGUAAUACGUAGGUGGCAAGCGUUGUCCGGAUUUAUUGGGCGUAAAGCGAGCGCAGGCGGUUUCUUAAGUCUGAUGUGAAAGCCCCCGGCUCAACCGGGGAGGGUCAUUGGAAACUGGGAGACUAGAGUGCAGAAGAGGAGAGUGGAAUUCCAUGUGUAGCGGUGAAAUGCGUAGAUAUAUGAAGGAACACCAGUGGCGAAGGCGACUCUCUGGUCUGGAACUGACGCUGAGGCUCGAAAGCGUGGGGAGCAAACAGG
rnacentral:rRNA from 1 species